CGUGUGCUUGGCGUGUUCUUAGUGUGUGGUUUGAAUGUUCUUCGAGUGGUGUCAUUGGGGUGUCCCUAGGGUGUCCUUGUGGUGUCUUUAUGGCAUCUUUAGGGUGGUUUUGGUGUUCUUAGUGUGUGCUUAGCGUGUGCUUAGCGUGUGCUUGGUGUGUGCUUCGGGUGGUGUCGUUGGUGUGUCCCUAGGGUGUCCUUGUGGUGUCUUUAUGCCAUCUUUAGGGUGGUUUUGGUGUUCUUAGCGUGUUCUUCGCGUGUGCUU
rnacentral:lncRNA from 1 species